GCAACAUGGUGGCAGCUAAAUCUGCCUUCCCUGAGACAGCUGUUUCCUGAUCUGGCCUCUUACCUUUCAGCACCCCUGACCAGGCUGCCUUCCAGGUGCCUGAUCCUUCCGGAGAGCCACUACCAAGUCUUAUGACCUAUGCUUCCAUACUCAGUACACAGGCUUUUAAACCUCAGAGAGAAGAAGCUGGGAAAGCAGCUAAAUGAACAAUUUAAAGUCCUCCAAUUUGAGGGUCUAGAUGCCAGAAGAUAGCUGCCUACAGCCAAGAGUAGCUUCCUUGUGAUCAGAUGUGAGAAACAGAAAGAAAAAGAACACCUAAGUGUAGAGAGGCCUGCAUCAAUGCUGGAAAUUACUGACCUGGCAGAACUGAAAGCACUCUGGGAAAUUUUCUAGAUCUACAGGAUUUCAGUUUUUCUCAGCAAAAGUUUUAGGGCCUGGAGAAUGCAGUGAGGGCAAGGUCACCUGAUUAUAGCCAAAUAUAUGCUGAGUAUGAUUCAAGGACUUAAAUGCAGAAAUAUGAGAGAAUUAAGAGAGGUUGGCUGAAGAGCAAAACCUCUAGCUGACAGAGGAUAUACGUCCAUUGAUUCCAGAGAGAGAAACUCUGAUAGGAAAGGACGGAACCUACAACCCGGGCACGUGCCCUAACCGGGAAUGGAACCUGCAACCAACCUUCAGUGUUCAGGACGACGCUCCAACCAAUGAGUCACACCAGCCAGGGCUAAGGAGGUGUCCUCUUUAGAAGAAAGAGAACACUGGGUCUAAGUCUGGGGAAAUGGUCCCUCGUCUCCGCAUUGGCUGCAGUUUCACUUUCCUUAUGAAGAGCUUUACUCUAAUUUUUUUUGAAAAACUGUGUAUCAAAGCUGAAUGAUUCCUAAGGUUCAUUCAGUGCUGCCGCUCUGAUUCUAAGCAAGAAAUAACAAGGCUCCUAUUUUUUAUUGGAUUAUUAAUGUCAAAGUCAAUCAAGAAGUUGCCCUUUGAUGAUACAUAUGUUCUUACUUUGAGCAACAUGAUUGGUCACUAAGCCGGAUUUGCUGACCGUGGUUUUGUAUGCAGAUAGGAGAGUGAGAGGUAUGGAAGACCAUAAAGUUGGAUGUUAACAAUGUGCUUGUUCCUAGCUUGGUGAAAGGAAUAGUGGAGCAGAAGUCAAAUGACAAAGAUUCCAGUUGUGGCUCUACUGCUUACUAGCUAUGUGCCCUUCGAUAACUCAUAAACUCUCAGAAUUCUGUUUCCUCUUUUACAUAGGGGAAGGGCAAUACCUCACAUAAGGUGGCUGCAGCUGCAGGUGCUAAAGAGAAUAAUGAUUCUGAGAACACUUAUACACUGCAAGGCACCAACCGUACGAAUCCAGGAGGUGUCUUGCUACGAUUAUACAUGGAAAUCCAAGGCUAGGCACUUUAUAAACAGUUUUAAAAGAGCUACUCCAGUAUGUCUGACAUGAAUGAAUUUCUCUGUGUUGCAUUUACUCAAGUGUGACUGGAGAUGAUCAAAGCCAAUGACAGGACUUCAGCAGUCCUGUGAGAAUCUCUAAAGUGGGCCUGCUAUCACUGCUGCAUGAAGUGACGUCGGGCUGUUGUUUACAGAAGAAGAAAGGCUGCCAAUUUCCACUGAGCAGAAGACCGAAGUGGCCAGCCUCCUUUGGCGGAGUGUGAGCAAGAAUAGACUCUUUAUGUGUGGCAUGUGUGUACAUGCAAUGGCUCACGUGCGAGGGCACCAAAACAAGAAAACUGCUUUGUGUGCAAGCACCAGCCCACGCUUUGGGGUUUACGUUCUCACUACAAGGACUAAUGAAAAUUGAUCAAAAUGUGACUUUCACUUUGUUACUCUGAAGGAAAAAGUAAAAAACUGUCACUCAGAAA